UUUUGCUAUAGCAGUUCUCAUUUGAUGUAAUUAAUCAAUAGCUCACCAAAUUUGUUAAAGGAACAGCUGGAGAUUUAAUGUAGUUUCUUCUCCAAGAACUGGUGCAAAUAAUGUUGGCUCUAAAUAUCAGGAUUACUUGAAAUUAUUUGAGGUUCCUUUCACUCUGGAGGGUUCUAGUCGUUCUUUUUGUGGUUUCUAGUUUGAACAUCAAGAUUAUGGGGGCCAUCUGUUGUGUGGCUGCUCCAAGGAAGAAACCUUUGUUUUCCUGUUACAAGAUGAGCGGCAGUCAUUCUGCUCAUAAGAAUGCUGGAUGCUCCUCUAGAUGGAGCUUUCUACGUGGCAACCGAACUCAUACAAUGGAUGUUUUCGACAACCAUUCUGAGUUUUCUCAUCACAACAGUGGGAAUAUUGACUCAGAAUUUAAGCAUCGCAUAGAAACAGAUCAUGAAGGUCUUCUAGCUGGAAAGACACCGGUAGCAGCUUCUCAGGCACUCAGACAGCUGAAGUCUCCUGAUUAAUUGAGCAUUGGUUGUAGCUCCAAAGUGGCUGCUGAAGGUAAAAUAUUUGGAUUGUGUUCUAUAUUUAGGGAAAACAUUCUUGUGCUGAGAAGCUUUUAUCUAUAGAAUUUUCUAAUAGUUACAUAAUGUUUUACAAUAUGAAGAAAUGCUGUUAUAUAUAAAAUUUUUACCCCAAUUUAACAAAAUAGCAGAGCGGCCCUUACCUUUAACUCAUGAAAGAAUUUACAAAUCAGUAGAUUCCAGAACUUAGAAGUGAUUUUCACUGACGCAAGCUGUGGCAUAUAGUAUGGAUUUCUUCUAAUCCAUACAGCUCAUGUCUAGAAAGAGACUGCACGAGUUCCACUUAUAAAUGUCAAAUUAUUUCCAGUCAGUUGUUCAGGCUCGUCAAACUAUGACAUGAUCCUCUUUAUAUGGUAAAUACUAUCAUAAUCUAUUGUACCUAGGAAAUUUUGAAGAGCAUAGCUGGAUAACUAAUCAUGUUUAAUACUCUUCUUAACUUGUUUCUGUAGAAUAAUAAAGUUUCUGCUGCAAUUUUAGUGGAUAAAUGUUUCAUGUUAAUGCAAUCAAUGCUGCAUAGAGGGUAUAAUUUUUCAUGCAUUCUUUGCAUAAUUCCUCAUCUAAUAUUCUUAUUCUUG